rnacentral:rRNA from 1 species
UACGAAGGGGGCAAGCGUUGUUCGGAAUUACUGGGCGUAAAGGGCGCGUAGGCGGUGCGUUAAGUUAGGCGUGAAAGCCCUGGGCUCAACCCGGGAACUGCGCUUGAUACUGGCGCGCUUGAAUCCAGGAGAGGUUGGUGGAAUUCCCAGUGUAGAGGUGAAAUUCGUAGAGAUUGGGAAGAACACCGGUGGCGAAGGCGGCCAACUGGACUGGUAUUGACGCUGAGGCGCGAAAGCGUGGGGAGCAAACAGG